rnacentral:rRNA from 1 species
CCUACGGGUGGCAGCAGUGGGGAAUAUUGCACAAUGGGGGAAACCCUGAUGCAGCGACGCCGCGUGAAGGAAGAAGUAUCUCGGUAUGGAAACCUUCAUCAGUAGGGAAGAAAAUGACGGCACGUGACUAAGAAGCCCCGGCUAACUACGUGCCAGCAGCCGCGGUAAUACGGAGGGGGCAAGCGUUAUCCGGAUUUACUGGGUGUAAAGGGAGUGUAGGCGGUUUAGCAAGUCAGAAGUGAAAGCCCGGGGCUCAACUGCGGGACUGCUUUUGAAACUGUUGAACUAGAUUGCAGGAGAGGUAAGUGGAAUUCGUAGUGUAGCGGUGAAAUGCGUAGAUAUUAGGAAGAACACCAGUGGCGAAGGCAGCUUACUGGACUGUAAAUGACGCUGAGGCUCGAAAGCGUGGGGAGCAAACAGGAUUAGAUACCCGAGUAGUC